AGCGACAGGCCUAACACAUGCAAGUCGAGGGGCAGCGCGGAGCAAGCUUGCUUGCUUUGGCGGCGACCGGCGCACGGGUGCGUAACAGGUGUGCAAUCUGUCCAUAAUCGGGGAAUAGCCCAGCGAAAGUUGGAUUAAUGCUCCAUGUGAGUAGAGGAGGCAUCUCUUUUAUUUGAAACGUAAGGAUUAUGGGUGAGCACGCUUCUGAUUAGGUAGUUGGUGAGGUAACGGCUCACCAAGCCGACGAUCAGUAGGGGUUCUGAGAGGAAGGUCCCCCACAUUGGAACUGAGACACGGUCCAAACUCCUACGGGAGGCAGCAGUGAGGAAUAUUGGUCAAUGGACGGAAGUCUGAACCAGCCAAGUCGCGUGAAGGAUGAAGGUUCUAUGGAUUGUAAACUUCUUUUGUCUGAGGGUAAAAAAGCGGACGUGUCCGUUCUUGCAAGUAUCAGACGAAUAAGCAUCGGCUAACUCCGUGCCAGCAGCCGCGGUAAUACGGAGGAUGCGAGCGUUAUCCGGAUUUAUUGGGUUUAAAGGGGUGCGUAGGCGGGUUGCUAAGUCAGUGGUAAAAGCGUGUGGCUCAACCAUACCAAGCCAUUGAAACUGGUGAUCUUGAGUGUAAACGAGGUAGGCGGAAUGUGACGUGUAGCGGUGAAAUGCUUAGAUAUGUCACAGAACCCCGAUUGCGAAGGCAGCUUACCAGCAUACAACUGACGCUGAGGCACGAAAGCGUGGGUAUCAAACAGGAUUAGAUACCCUGGUAGUCCACGCCGUAAACGAUGAAUACCAGGUGUAGGGGUUGUCAUGACCUCUGUGCCGCCGCUAACGCAUUAAGUAUUCCGCCUGGGGAGUACGGUCGCAAGAUUAAAACUCAAAGGAAUUGACGGGGGCCCGCACAAGCAGCGGAGCAUGUGGUUUAAUUCGAAGCAACGCGAAGAACCUUACCUAGACUUGACAUCUCCUGCAUUACUCUUAAUCGAGGAAGUCCCUUCGGGGACAGGAAGACAGGUGGUGCAUGGUUGUCGUCAGCUCGUGUCGUGAGAUGUUGGGUUAAGUCCCGCAACGAGCGCAACCCUUAUUGUUAGUUGCUACCAUUUAGUUGAGCACUCUAGCGAGACUGCCCGGGUUAACCGGGAGGAAGGUGGGGAUGACGUCAAAUCAUCAUGCCCCUUAUGUCUAGGGCUACACACGUGCUACAAUGGCAAGUACAAAGAGACGCAAGACCGCGAGGUGGAGCAAAACUCAAAAACUUGUCUCAGCUCGGAUUGUAGUCUGCAACUCGACUACAUGAAGCUGGAAUCGCUAGUAAUCGCGAAUCAGAACGUCGCGGUGAAUACGUUCCCGGGUCUU
rnacentral:rRNA from 1 species